AGAGUUUGAUCCUGGCUCAGGAUGAACGCUGGCGGCGUGCUUAACACAUGCAAGUCGAGCGAAGCACUUAAGAAAGAUUCUUUGGAUGAUUUCUUAAGUGACUGAGCGGCGGACGGGUGAGUAACGCGUGGGUAACCUGCCUCAUACAGGGGGAUAACAGUUAGAAAUGACUGCUAAUACCGCAUAAGCACACAGUGCUGCAUGGCACAGUGUGAAAAACUCCGGUGGUAUGAGAUGGACCCGCGUUGGAUUAGGCAGUUGGCGGGGUAACGGCCCACCAAACCGACGAUCCAUAGCCGGCCUGAGAGGGUGAACGGCCACAUUGGGACUGAGACACGGCCCAAACUCCUACGGGAGGCAGCAGUGGGGAAUAUUGCACAAUGGGGGAAACCCUGAUGCAGCGACGCCGCGUGAGUGAAGAAGUAAUUCGUUAUGUAAAGCUCUAUCAGCAGGGAAGAAAAUGACGGUACCUGACUAAGAAGCCCCGGCUAACUACGUGCCAGCAGCCGCGGUAAUACGUAGGGGGCAAGCGUUAUCCGGAUUUACUGGGUGUAAAGGGAGCGUAGACGGCCGUGCAAGUCUGAUGUGAAAGGCUGGGGCUCAACCCCGGGACUGCAUUGGAAACUGUAUGGCUGGAGUGCCGGAGAGGUAAGCGGAAUUCCUAGUGUAGCGGUGAAAUGCGUAGAUAUUAGGAGGAACACCAGUGGCGAAGGCGGCUUACUGGACGGUAACUGACGUUGAGGCUCGAAAGCGUGGGGAGCAAACAGAAGUAGAUACCCUGGUAGUCCACGCCGUAAACG
rnacentral:rRNA from 1 species